UACGAAGGGUGCUAGCGUUGUUCGGAAUCACUGGGCGUAAAGCGUGCGUAGGCGGCUUUGCAAGUCAGGGGUGAAAUCCCACAGCUCAACUGUGGAAUUGCCUUUGAAACUGCAUGGCUGGAGUAUUGGAGGGGUCAGGGGAAUUCCUAAUGUAGUGGUGAAAUACGUAGAUAUUAGGAGGAACACCGGUGGCGAAGGCGCCUGACUGGACAAUAACUGACGCUGAGGCGCGAAAGCGUGGGGAGCAAACAGG
rnacentral:rRNA from 1 species